UACAUGGGGUGCAAACGUUGCUCGGAAUCAUUGGGCGUAAAGCGCGCGUAGGCGGUUACUUAAGUUGGAUGUGAAAGCCCUCGGCUUAACUGAGGAAGUGCAUCCAAAACUGAGUAGCUAGAGUACGAAAGAGGGUCGCGGAAUUCCCGGUGUAGAGGUGAAAUUCGUAGAUAUCGGGAGGAACAUCAGUGGCGAAGGCGGCCCUCUGGUCCAGUACUGACACUCAAGUGCGAAAGCGUGGGGAGCAAAC
rnacentral:rRNA from 1 species